rnacentral:lncRNA from 1 species
CCUGCGCGCUGCUGUGGCGGCGGCGGCUAAGGAGAGCGGCAGUGGUGGGGGAAACAGGGCGAAGACUCGAAGAGAGAGAGAGAGAGAGGGGCUUGCCGGCGUUCUGUCCGCCGGUCGAGCCGUUAUAGUGUCAUUAGGGCAGAAAAUCAGGAUCUGCCUCCUAAUCGCCUGCCCUUCGAGUCCGAUUAUUUCGCCACCCGGAGGUGGACCCGCGGACAUUGGUACUCGUGUGAGCUGCAGCCUUGGCGCCGAUCUCGGAGAAGAUAGUAAGCGUCAUGUCGCAGUGUGCUGCCGAUCCCGGCGUUGCCCUAGGAGGUGGACUCGGCGAUAGCGCUUUUCGCGGGCAUUUGACGGCUGGAGGUUUUUUGUUCUACGGCGCCGUGUCGCAGUGUGCCGUCGAUCCCGGCGUUGAUCUGAGCAUUCAUCCGCCUUUUUAUGCCGCCGCCGCCGCUAACGGCGAUGAUGAUGCUGAUAUAACAAGGGCAUCACUGCGAGCUACUUUUCCAAGAUAUUCGCAGUUGUGAGCGUGUUGCCGUUGCAAUGUGACUCGUGCAACUGCGACUCGUCUCGUAGAAAGAAGGGGAGCGCGGAGAAAGAAAGAGAGAAGGAAAACGUGUGAAAAUCAAGUAGUCGACAGUGUCUCGUGGAAAAUCCCACAACGACUAGACACGUCGCAAAGCGUAGAUAAAGUUUGUGUGCUGUGCACGUGAUGCAGUAACGGAAUGGAGCCUCACACCUGAUGAUGCACUGCGAGGCUGCUGCGUAAAAUAUGCUCUCGGUUCUAAACGUUAAUUUUACCGCUGCUUUAACCAUUAUUACAUGGAUAUAACUAAUUCAUAUCCAUUUUUAUCCACGUAGACAUUUAUUUCUGUUUGAUCUUUUACACACACGGCUUACUAACUUGAAAUGAAACCUUUGAAUUUUGAAAAACUUUUGUACCUUUUUGGCUGGUGUUUGCUUUGGAGCAACGACCGAAGCAAUGUAAUUUGCAAGCAUAAAUACAGUUCAAAUUUGUUUGUUCAAGAUA